rnacentral:tRNA from 1 species
GGAUAGUCUAGUGGUUAUGACGUCUGCCUUACACGCAGAAGGUCGCGAGUUCAAUCCUCGCUCCU